rnacentral:rRNA from 1 species
UACAGAGGUCCCGAGCGUUGUUCGGAUCCACUGGGCGUAAAGGGUGCGUAGGUGGUUGGGUAAGUCUGAUGUGAAAUCUCCGGGCUCAACCCGGAAAUGGCAUUGGAUACUAUUCGGCUAGAGGUUUGGAGGGGGGACUGGAAUUCUCGGUGUAGCAGUGAAAUGCGUAGAGAUCGUAAGGAAGACCAGUGGCGAAGGCGGGCCUCUGGACAGUUCCUGACACUGAGGCACGAAGGCCAGGGGAGCAAACGGG